rnacentral:rRNA from 1 species
GUAGGUGGCAAGCGUUGUCCGGAAUUAUUGGGCGUAAAGCGCGCGCAGGCGGUUCUUUAAGUCUGAUGUGAAAGCCCACGGCUCAACCGUGGAGGGUCAUUGGAAACUGGAGAACUUGAGUACAGAAGAGGAAAGCGGAAUUCCACGUGUAGCGGUGAAAUGCGUAGAGAUGUGGAGGGACACCAGUGGCGAAGGCGGCUUUCUGGUCUGUAACUGACGCUGAGGCGCGAAAGCGUGGGGAGCAAACAGGAUUAGAUACCCUGGUAGUCCACGCCGUAAACGAUGAGUGCUAAGUGUUAGGGGGUUUCCGCCCCCCUUAGUGCUGCAGCUAACGCAUUAAGCACUCCGCCCUGGGAGUACGGCCGCAAGGCUG